ACUGCAUUUCAUUUGUAUAUAUAUCAAGAAGUGGCAUAGCUGGAUCAUGUACCAGCUGUUUUUUUUUGUAUUUUUAUUUGCAGACCCUCCACAUGGAUUCCAUGUGUGGAGUAAUAAUUUGUGACUAUAAUAAUUUAUAGUUCCAGCAACAGUGUACGAGUGUUCCUUUUUGUCCAUGCCCUUGCCACCAUUUGUUGAUUGAUUGAUAUUAGUUACUCCAAUUGGAUGAGAUGGAAUCUCAAUGUAGUUGUGAUUUGCAUUUCUUGAUGGCUACAAAGACAUUGAGCCCUUUUUCAUAUGUUUAUUGUCUGUAAUUUGUUUUGUUAGAUCCCUAGACAUAAGUAACUCCAUUUUGGUUCUGGGCCUCAGAAACAAAACUUACAUGCUGCCAAGAAAAAGAAACUUAAGAUACCCUGUUCCUAUAACCACCCCCUUCCAAGGUCCCUAUAUAAAAAACCUGCUGUUACUCAGCCACCUGCACCCAAGGUCAGUUCUAGAGCCUGCUGCACCUAAGAUCAUUUCCAGCUUGCUCUUGUUCCUUGUUUAAAAAAAAAAAAGAUAUAAAACCUCUAUUCAAGUGACUCUGCCUGCUGCACCUUGCAAAAGAGCAGCCUAGCAGAUAUUCUCUGUCAGUAAACCUUUGCUUGAACUCACGAGAUGGGUCUCUUAUGUGUAUUUGUUCCAGCUACCCUAACACUUUUGAGAAAUGUCUGUUGAGAUCAUUUGCUCAUUUUUAACUGGAUUCCCUGUUUUUCUGUUAAAUAUUUUUACUUCUUUAUACAUUUUGGAUAUUAAUACUCUGUCAGAUGAAUAACUGACAGAGAUUUUCUUCCAUUAUGUAGAUUAUUUUCACUCUGUUGAUUAUUUCCUUUGCUAUGCAGAAGUUUUUUUAAUUUGAUGUAGUUUAUCAGUUCUUGUUUUGUAAUCAUAUUUAGGAAAUCAUGCUUGUGCCAUUAACUUGAAGUGUCUUCUCUGUGCUUUCCUCUAGUACUUUCAAAUUUUAAGAUCUUACAUUUUUGAGUUGAUUUUGGCACAGGAUGAGAGAUUGGGAUCUACUUUCAAUCUUCAACAUAUUGAUAUCCAUUUUUUCCAGCACCAUUUGUUAAGGAUGUGGUUUUAUGCCAAUGUUGUGCUGUUUUUGUUACUAUGGCUGUAUGGUGUAUUUAGAAAUCAGACAUUGUG
rnacentral:lncRNA from 1 species